UGUUCUGUAGCUUAGUUGUUUAAAGCGCCGGUCUAGAGUACACGGAGUCGUGAGUUCGAGUCUCACUAGAACGC
rfam:Aedes aegypti strain Liverpool supercont1.1141 genomic scaffold, whole genome shotgun sequence.